CAGACUAGAUAGAUACAUAGAUGGAUAAAUAAAUUAUAGGUAGAGAGAGACAGACUAGAUAGGUAGAUAGGUGGAUGAUAGAUAGGUGAUAGGUAGAUAGAGACAGACUAGGUAGAUAGAUAAUAGAUAGAUGAUAGAUAGAUAGGUGAUAGGUAGAUAGAGAGAGACAGACUAGAUAGAUAGAUAGAUAGGUGGAUGAUAGACAGGUGAUAGGUAGAUAGAGACAGACUAGAUAGAUAGAUAGA